GUGAGUCAUCGAAUCUUUGAACGCAUAUUGCACCCUCUGGUAUUCCGGAGGGUAUGCCUGUUUGAGUGUCAUUAUUGUCUCAAACCAAAGGAAUUUUUUUCUUUGUGUUUUGGAUGUUGAAGGUUUGCUGGCUGUUUCUGUCGGCUCCUUUUAAAUGCAUUAGCAGGACUUGUGCAGUACCAGCUCUGGUUUGAUACAUUGAUAUCUGAGCUAUUGCUGGAACUGCUCUCGGUUCCGCUUCUUAACUGUCUGCACUGGCUGUGGACUUGUCCAACUGGGCAAAAUUAAUGAUAAAUUGAC
rnacentral:misc_RNA from 1 species